ACAGUCAAAUCCCGAUGAGUCGAAUCGCUGGGGACCAAUAAUAAAUUCGUCUUAUCGAUGUAUUCAAGACAAAGGUAUGUCUAAGAAGGUA